GUGCCAGCAGCCGCGGUAAUACGGAGGGCGCAAGCGUUAAUCGGAAUCACUGGGCGUAAAGCGCGCGUAGGCCGCUUUCUAAGUCGGACGUGAAAGCCCUCGGCUCAACCGGGGAACUGCGUUCGAUACUGGGAGGCUUGAGUCCCGGAGAGGGUGGCGGAUGUCCGGGUGUAGGAGUGAAAUCCGUGGAUAUCCGGAGGAACACCGGUGGCGAAGGCGGCCACCUGGACAGGUACUGA
rnacentral:rRNA from 1 species